ACCAACGGUAUGUUAAUUGACAUCAUAAUUGUGGUUUGGUUUUUUCUUUGUUGGUAGAAGAAUGAAGUUUUGUUAACAUAUAUAUAUAUAUAUAUAUGUGGUGGGUGUUUUUGUUGAGUGCAGGGUUAGACUUUUUUUAAUUGUAAAAACUUGGUGCUGAGAAAUCUGAGUAUAAAAGACUCACAGCAGAUGCAAGUAAUGUUUGUGAACUGCAACACAGUGAUGGCUUCUCAUCUCACAGUAACUGCACCAGCCCAUAGUCCUAACACUGAUGGAAUCCAUGUAACACACACUCAGAACAUUGACAUCUCUAACUGUGUCAUUGACUCAUUGGAACAGGAGAUCAUUGCAUAUCUACUGUGAGCGGAUCCAAAAAUGUGACAGCCACAGACAUCACUUGUGGACCAGGUCAUGGAAUUAGUGUUGGAAGUUUGGGAUCUGGAAACUCUGAAGCCCAUGUUCCUGAUGUAUUCGUCCGCAGAGCUAAGUUUUAUAAAACCUCCAAUGGAGUUAGGAUUAAGACUUGGCAGGUACACCAUAUAUAUAUACUGAGAGAAGGGGGGCUAGUGUGAGGGAGGCGAGAAGAGAAGAAGAGCUGGUGGUGGUGGAGGCGGCUGCUGAGUGAGGGAGGCCGUGCGUGAGUGAGAGUGAAAGAGAAGAAGAAAAGAAAUAAAUAUUGUUUUUACUUAUUUUUCAGAUUUUAAUUUUCUUUUUUAAUUUUUGGUCGGGUUCCCGAAAUGACUAAAUUUUAAACCCAAAUCUGACAUAUGUCAAUCCAACCGCACAUAUGUCGGGUUCGGAUCGGAUUAAACCCGAAAUGAAUGAAUUUUCUGAAAAUUCAAGUUCUCAGAGUUCGAAUCAGGCAGAUUUUGCGGGCGAAAUGUUCACUCUAGUGUUAAUAAGUAAUAACCUUACAAAUGGUGGAAAACAACAUGAAUCUAUCUAAAAAAAAACAACACCUGCAAUGAUAAGCUCAUUUUCGGCCCAAUCUCUCUUUGUCUUCUACUUAAUCCUAAUGCUUCUUAGCCCAAGAAAAAGAUUAGGGAAUUACAAAAAUAUAUGCAAUUUGUAAAAAUGUUUGGAAAAAAUAAUUAAGAUAAUACUUGUAUUUUUUUUACAAAAAUAUGGAGUGGAAAAAUCUUAAAUGA